rnacentral:rRNA from 1 species
GACGAACGCUGGCGGCGUGCUUAACACAUGCAAGUCGAACGGAAAGGCCCUGCUUGCAGGGUGCUCGAGUGGCGAACGGGUGAGUAACACGUGGGUGAUCUGCCCCUUAUUUUGGGAUAAGCCUGGGAAACUGGGUCUAAUACUGGAUAGGACCAUGCUGUAGGUGGUGUGGUGGAAAGAUUAGUUUCGGUAAGGGAUGAGCUCGCGGCCUAUCAGCUUGUGGUGGGGUAAUGGCCUACCAAGGCGUCGACGGGUAGCCGGCCUGAGAGGGUGGACGGCCACAUUGGGACUGAGAUACGGCCCAGACUCCUACGGGAGGCAGCAGUGGGGAAUAUUGCACAAUGGGCGCAAGCCUGAUGCAGCGACGCCGCGUGGGGGAUGACGGCCUUCGGGUUGUAAACUCCUUUCAGCCAUGACGAAGCCCUUGUGGUGACGGUAGUGGUAGAAGAAGCACCGGCUAACUACGUG